AUACGAAGGGGGCAAGCGUUGUUCGGAAUAACUGGGCGUAAAGCGCACGUAGGCGGAAUGUUAAGUUAGAGGUGAAAUCCCAGGGCUCAACCCUGGAACGGCCUUUAAUACUGGCAAUCUAGAGACCGAGAGAGGUGAGUGGAAUUCCGAGUGUAGAGGUGAAAUUCGUAGAUAUUCGGAGGAACACCAGUGGCGAAGGCGGCUCACUGGCUCGGUACUGACGCUGAGGUGCGAAAGCGUGGGGAGCAAACAGGAUUAGAUACCCUUGUAGUCC
rnacentral:rRNA from 1 species